rnacentral:rRNA from 1 species
UACGUAGGUGACCAGCGUUGUCCGGAUUUACUGGGCGUAAAGAGCGCGCAGGCGGUCGUUCAAGUCGAGUGUGAAAGCCCCCGGCUCAACUGGGGAGGGUCAUUCGAUACUGAUCGACUUGAAGGCAGGAGAGGGAAGUGGAAUUCCCGGUGUAGUGGUAAAAUGCGUAGAUAUCGGGAGGAACACCAGUGGCGAAGGCGACUUCCUGGCCUGUUCUUGACGCUGAGGCGCGAAGCUAGGGGAGCAAACGGG